GCCCGUUUCCACGGCAAAGCACGAGUGUUCUUGUUGCUUUAUGUGUUUUCUAAAACUUCUAAAUAAUAGAAAGUUUUUAUGGCUGCUCAUAUCUUACCAAUAUGUGUUUAUGUUAUAACUUCAGUAAACAUUUGAUAACUUGAUAUAUGUUACAGUUUGGAAGAAUUUGUUUUGAUAAUAAGGGAAAUUUAUUUUCAGGACCACAGACUCUGAAAUAUGAAAGAGAAGUAAUAUUUCCCCAGUCUUUCUUUUUUUUUUUGGUACCGGAGAUCGAACUCGGGACCUUGCGCUUGCGAGGCAGGCACCAGAACCACUGAGAGCCAGCAUGGUGAUGCACACCUGUAAUCCCAACAGCAUGGAAGCCAAGACAGGAAGAUCACAGGCCAGCUUGGGCAACUUGGACUGAAGUGUAUGGCAGGGAAGCAGUAUUUCUGGUUCAGGCUGCUGUAGAAGCUGCCUCUUUCUUUGCCAUAUGGAGCAGAGCACCCACUGAAUGAGGAGAAUACACUCAAGUCACAACUGUGCAUGGAUGUGACCUCACCUCUGCUGAACCCCUGGAGUUCUAGAAAUGACCCAAAUGCCCAUCAAUUGUUACAGCCUCAAUGGUCCUGUGACUCUGUGAUGCUCAAUGGCAGAAUUACACCAGCUGAAGACAUCUUGAGGAGGAACAAAAUCUUCAUCUGCAUAGUUCCUCACUGUUCUAGGAUUAUUGCUGCCCUGCCCUCUGAGUCAUCUGUUACAUUUGUUACUCCUGAUAUACUAAAUCUGCAGCCCUCUGAGUCAUCUGUUACUCCUGAUGUACCAAAUAAAGCUGUGCUAAGCUCAG
rnacentral:lncRNA from 1 species